rnacentral:lncRNA from 1 species
UUCUGUGUUUAGUAUGACGUUCAUCAUCACUGAAGUAUUAUACAGUUUUGUUAAGGGUCCAGCUGAAGAAUGCCUCGGGGUGCAGAAGUUUUUCGCUGAAUUGAAUACCAAUUAGUGGCCUUGGUUGUUGUCGGCUCUUUGGUCGGGUUGUUUUCCCUUUGACACAUUUCCCAUUUACAUUCUCUAUUGUAUUUAUGCUUUUUAACACUUAAUUCUAAUUACAACACUUUCCAUUGGACGUAAUUACAAAAAAACAAAAAUGUAAAUGUAUGAAAAUGGAGGUAUUCUUUCACUAUAAUUGUUAUCAAUAUAACGAAUGAAAGCCGUGUAAAACAAC